rnacentral:rRNA from 1 species
UACGUAGGGUGCAAGCGUUGUCCGGAAUUAUUGGGUGUAAAGAGCUCGUAGGCGGUCUGUCGCGUCUGCUGUGAAAACUCAGGGCUUAACCCUGAGCUUGCAGUGGGUACGGGCAGACUAGAGUGCGGUAGGGGAGACUGGAAUUCCUGGUGUAGCGGUGAAAUGCGCAGAUAUCAGGAGGAACACCGGUGGCGAAGGCGGGUCUCUGGGCCGAUACUGACGCUGAGGAGCGAAAGCGUGGGGAGCGAACAGG